AAGAUGCAACAUAAACAGUCUUCAAGGCCUGUGAGCAUUCCUUAUCAAGCAGAAGCUUAUAUGAUAACUGAAUACCUUCAUGGUUUCUAAAAAAAAAGCUGCUUACAUAAAAAAAGCUGCUUACAUAAAUGGUCUGAAAGCAACUCCUGUCAAUGUCAGUGGGAAUUUUACCAGUGGAAACAGAAUUAAGCCCGAAAGGGAUCAUUUUUUCAACACCUUUGCAACUUUUUGUCUGGCACCACCAGAGCCAAUGGAAAGGUUUUCAUUGACUUUGGUGCAUAAAGAGAUGUUAGCUGUGUAACUCAAGACAUCUCCUGUGUGCCAAAGAAUAAACGAAAUUUAGAAUGAGAGCAGCUUUGCUGUAAUGGUGAUGAUAUAAUACUCAAGAGCAAACAACUAAUAAACUGUUGUUAAAACAAGAAUCCAUCAUACUUGCUCUAAGACCAAAGGGAAAGGUUGCCUCUGGCCUCUGGGAUCUCCUGCUGGGCAAUGAAAAGAGGAGCUAUAUCGUGCAGAAAGUUAUGAGGAAAGAGGAAAAACCCUCAGGAGGAAAAAGCCUUUCUUUCCCCUCCUACCCCCUCUCCUGGCAUAGCUAUCUCUACUGCUUGUGUGCAAUUCCGCAGAGAAAAAACAGUUCAUGAUAGAACAAACUGAGAAAGUGCUAGCUCAGGCUGCCUGUGCUUUCCUUUCAUGGAUUAAUGGUGACUGAAAGUGAAGGGAUUAUUUGAGGCCGUACGGGCAAUAUUAACUACUCCUGCACAUUGUAUGACUCUAGGAUCACAUGCAGUCUGGAAACCAAAAGCAGCAAACAGUGUUGGGUUAGUAUAGGUAGACACCUGGGUUAUGAAGCAGAGAGUUCUAGAGUUUACUUCUUAGCAGUUUGGGAAUUGCCUGUUGUGAAGAUGGAGUGAAAUAAAUGGUGGUCUGCAGUCAGCCAUUCUGAUAUCCCAUAGGAAUAGCCAGGCUGUUCGAUCCUCUGGAAAACAGCAUCUUAGUGACCACUGCAAGUGACCACUUUUUGCUUCAAGCUCAGUGAAACUCAUUUUUCCUUGUAGAAACAAAUAUGGGGGUGAGCUGGGAACAGUAUAUUCUUUGAAAGCUGUAGCCUUUGCAGUUGAGUGUUUAUUAACUUAUUUCAGAACAAUGAGAAAGUUUACUUCACCAAAUUCAUUCUAGAGUGUAUUCAUGCAUGUUCAUUAAUGGCUGUGUGUCAAAUACUGUUGUAUUUAAGCCUUUGGAGGACCGGUGGGAGACACAUUUAAUGGCUUGGCUAGACCUGGGUGAAAUAAGAACUUAACCUGGGAUUUGUGAUGGGGCAGAAACUCCCUUUUCUAGUAGUGAUACAGGAUUAACCACGUGGAUAUGAGUUGCAUAUAUGGGGCUAUCAGGUCUCUCAGUAUUCUUAGAUUUAUUAUCUGGCAUUUUCAUUGUGCCCAAGGAGCUUUGCAUCUAUAGACAGUCAUGGCUGUAAGAAAGGGAAGGUGUAUGAAAGUGUAUAUUUUUAAUGUAAUGCAAUGUGGACAUCCCUGAACCACCACUAGAUGAGCUAUCUCAGGAUUUGAAAGCUUCAGCACAGUUCUGCAGCUGAGCUAAUUAGUUCCACUGGGGACAGAGGAAGAGAAGCAGGGCUAGUUUGCUUUGGUGUUCUGCAAUGCUAACAUGACUGCUGUUUGUAAAGUCAAAGCUAGUGGAGCUUCUGGAGGCUGUAUCAAAAUGAAGUUGGCAAAAAUGUUCUUGGAUCUAGAUCCAGAAAUCUCUUUGCAUUAUACGGUCUGUUGUAUGAACUGACAUUUGUUUGGAUGAGUUGAGUGAGAGGAUUUAAAUCUGAGAACUUUCAGUUUUAACAUGCGUGGUAUUUGGGAAGCCACUGGUCUUUCCAGGCAUGUAGUAAUACCCUGUAGAGGAAGACACUUCACUGAUACUGUCUGGGAACUGACUGAGGGAGAUUAAGCACUGAAACAAACAGCAGAAAACCACAACAUUUUGUUUGUAUUUGAGAAACUGUGUUGGUUGAUGGUCUGUAUCCCAAACUGUGUUUCUUAAUUGUGCAUUCCAUGCACCCCUGUGCUUCAGAAAUCCAGUAGCCAGAGAUAAUAUGUAAGAGCUUUCUUUAGGGGUGAACAUUACACAUUGUCAUAUGGAACUUGUGACUCUUGUACAGAGUAGAUAUUCUUCACUUGUGCAGAUAAUAAGAGCCAAAUCACAGACCAUUCCCAACCAUUCUGUGCACAUUAAGAUACAUGUUCUCUACAUACAUCUCUGUGUCCUUGAGAAUUUAGAAUUCAGCUUGCAAAAGGUGCACAGAAAUUAUUUAAACAAAGGAGAGUGGGAAGAACAUAUGUCUGCAGAGAAUACUUAGUCUAUGUCUUCCCACCCUCUUCUUUGUCUCUGGCAUAUCCUUAUGACUUCUCUCUUCAUUGUUUGUCAAAUUUUUGGAUGUCUCACUGCAUUAAUAUUUCCUAUUCUGGACAUUUUGAGCCUUACUAAGAACAAAAAAAUUGGAUGGAAUGAGAGCAUCUCUGAUUUUCACAUACAAAUGUUGGUGGAGUUUUCCUGGUGUUUAGAUGUUAGUUAAUAAAAAACAGUCUCUGAACCCCAGGCUGAGGCCUUUCAAAUGGGAUCAAGCUUGCUUUCCCCUUUUAUCUAACCUUUAUUCUUUCAGGCUAGAAGACAUUCUUCCCUAUGUGUUAAGGGGUGACUGGUUUCCUUCCUGUUCUGGACCUACAGCAGUCUCCUGAAUUAUUUUCUCCAGCGUUCUUGUAAAGAGAAGCAGAAAUCUUUGUUCCUCCUUUCUUAGCAGAAGUGAGGGUCUUGUAUUUGCUUUGAGCAGUAGGGAAAUAUCUUCCUGGCAAUUGAAAGAACCAUCAAUUCAGCAAUGUAAAUAUGUAAAUGGGAUGGUGGGUUCCUCAGUUAGCAGAGUAAUAUGUUACAUUACUUAGUGGGAAACCUACUUGCCCUCAUGCCCAUGUUUUCUCACAAGAGUUCAGCUCAGUUGUGUCCUGAGCUCUUGUUGGACUGUUCUCAUUCCAGAGCACCUGCCGGAAGGAAACUCAGGUGAAAAUGAAGCAGUGGCAUGUGUCAGCAGGUCCCACACAGAGCAGGAGGAGCAGAACGGAGACAAGCAUUAUACAGAGCCCUCUGCCAAAGUUUGGACGGAAGUAACACAAGUGAUCUAAGAAUUGGAAAUGCUCAGACACGAAAAGAAAAAAGAAUAAUUGACACAACGUGCAAUCGAUCUCUGGGCACCGGUGUUGCAGGAUAUUACAAGUACGGAUAGCAGACAGUUGGCUGAAAGACUGAGAAGAUUGCCAGACACCAGUAUUAAAUGAAAAUGUCAUCUAGGAUAUGGAGCAAUUUUCCUCUUUUGCUGCUGCUCAUGUGAACUCAGGAAUCUGUGAAUUAUUCUAGGACAUUUGAAUUCCCAUGUAAUCUUCUCAGAGAGGUACAGGGACUUGGUUCGCUGAUGUCUCAUGCUUCUUUUUUUUUUUCUGCUUAAAAGAUAAAUACAGUGUUUGAAGAGAGAUAAUAGAGCUGGAUUACUUGUCCUUGCAGACUGCAAUUUUCAACACCUGAAAUACAAGAGCUUCUGAAUGCAAUCUUUCUGAAGAAAAAGUCAGCUUUCUUUCAGAAUAAAUGCUGUAACUAUGGGCCAGAAAUGUCUGAAAUGCUACUUAACUUUUCUGCAGAGGGUUCUGCAGGUCCUGGAGCUAAAGAAAGCCAGAUUCUCUGAUGCUGCAGAUGAAUCCUCCCAGAGUUGUCAAUGGAGAGAUACACACUAAGACUCCAGCUGUUUGUGGCCUUAGAUUGUCCUGGGCCAUCUUCUUGAGGUGGUCUAUCAUUAAUUUAGGCACUCUGAUGGUGCUCUGCAUGUAGUCUUUAUCCACCAAGCUGUUGGAUUGCCUAGGAAAGGUGUUUUGCUGAGCCCAGCUCAAACCCUUUCCCACUUGUCUCUGAGGUCCUUCAGCGCUAUUCAAGGAAAGUGCAGCUGCCAUACUGUAUUGUCCACCAAAGAAUGCCUGUGGACACCCAUACAGUUUGGUUUGAAGAAAAACCCAACAGGAAAGGAGGAACUCAUUUGUUUGCAGCCUGAUUCUCUGUCACAGAGAUCCAGGGUCCUCUGCGCAUCUUGGGUUUAGCAAUGUGACACAUUUUAUUAAACCAUUAGGGUAGAUUUAGACUAGAUGAAGGUAGAUUUAUACUAGAUAUCAGGCAUAAAUUCUUUACUGUGAGGGUGGUGAGACACUGGAACAGGUUGCCCAGAGAGGUUGUGAAUGGUCCCUCCACGGAAGCAUUCAAGGCCAGGCUGGAUCAGGCUUUGAGCAACCUGGUCUAGAGGGAGGUGUCCCUGCCUAUAGCAGGAGGUUGGAACUAAAUGAUCUUAAAGGUCCUUCCAACCCAAACCAUUCUAUGAUACUAUGAUUAGAUACUAGAAAAGGAACACAUUGUAUAACAAAGGAUAAAAGAACUGCAUGGCAAACAAAUACAUUCUUUAAGCCAUUCAUUAAAUUACUUUCUUUGCUCUCAUUCAUUAAAUCACUUCAUCAAAGAAUUGCUAGCUUUUUUUUCUGAUGAUGGGUUUGAGACCAAAAUAAACAUGUGGAACAUUACAAACUUAUCAACAUAUGAAAUGUCUUUCCGUCAAGGCACUGCGCUGCCUGUGUUAGGCAGGUCUUUAAAGGAACCUAUUGAACUGCCCUCUUUAGUUUUCAGUAUAUUUUAGUGAUAAGGAUCAUCUGAAUGCUUUUAAACUCAUCAUUUUUUAACAAUAUAACAUUUUUUUUUUUCCGCCAGGAAAACGUCUGCUUUCCCUAAAAAUGUUCAUUUUUAGUUUAGAACACUAAACGUCUUCUGUAGACUAUAGGAUUUUAAAAGGUUUACAGAAAUAUUUGGUCAUUUGCCCAUUUUUAAAAAGGGGUGGGUGGGACGUUUUCAGACAGCUAUACAAAAUAAGCCCUGCUUGCACCAAACCCUUAACAUAAACAUAUCAAGCACAAGCUUAGCAGCUGCAUAGAAGUCAGCAUACAAAGAGUGGAAAGGCUUUUGAACUCAUGUUUCCAAAUUGGAUGGAUCUGCAGCGCUCGUAUUGGUGGCGGAUGAGGGGUAGACAGGAUCAAGCAUACUUCACAGGUCUGUAACACUGUGCUGUACAGUUUCUGGAACUGAGGGAGAGGUGCUGUACAAACCUAUGUGGCAGAUUUCCUACUCAGGGCUUCCCAUACAUUAUAGGCAGACUAAAUGGCCUUUACAUUGCUUUGACCCUCCAGAGAAUAAUGGCUAUAUCAAGUAAACUAACAGAAAGGGCAGCAAUGCUGCAAGAAGGAAUGGUUCAGUGCUUGGCCUGAAUCUUGCAGAUAUCUCUGCAUAUUUUGCCAGACAUUUGUUGCAUUCCUUCAAGCUUCUCAGGAACCUUUUAUAAGCAAUGUUGAGGGCAAUGUUUCAUAUAGUGUGAAGGAGAUCAUAGGUCCUGUUCUCUUACAGCUUUCUCCCCACUGCUCUGUUUCCCUUUUGCAGCUUCCUAGGAAAGAAGUAUGUGAAAGAUGGGCUGUGCUUUAAAAAGCUGAAUCACUAAACUCAAAUCCCAACAGCAGCACCACCACCUUGAAUGAAAAUUAAGUUUUUAAACACCUGAGAACCCACACAGACUGGCAAGCAUGUGUGUGUUGAAUUCUUUAUAAUCAGUCUAUGCUCUUCCUGGCAUGUGUCCACCGCUGAUGUUCUCCGUACGGCUUCUACAUGUACACAUAACUUUCAGACAUAGAAUUAAAAUGUAUUAUUUUCUUAUUCUUUCGUUCACCUGAAGAGUAUCCAUUUGCACUGACUUUACUACUACUAAUGAUCAGCGAGUACCCAGGGACUACUUUGCCACGAUAGAACUGACCUCUGUUGGAGGAAGAAUAGACUCUCAUCAAGACAAGGUUACAAAGUCCAGACUGUUUAGAAAUAUUUUAGAAGAAACAUUUCUUUCUGUAAGCUUUCCCAAGCUGACGGUUUCUUUAUUUUCUGUUCAAGGUUAAAAGCAGGACUAUGGGUCAGUAUUUCACUCCAUUCUACAAAUUUUUUAAUCUGUAAGUUUUCUAAGAAAGUUUUCACACUCUUUUGAUAAUCCAUUUUACAAGAGAGGUAAGUGGGAGUUUUCCUAUCUGAUUUACUUUAUUCACAUGCUGUGCUUCUGUAUUCCAGGUCUCAUUAUGGACUUUCCAAGAAAUGGAGAAAUACAAACAAUAUUCUUAAACCAUCAUUCCUCUCCAAGUGGUGAGUUCUCAACAGUCAGUAGGCAACACAGAUUUCUCGUAUUAGAAGUGUAGCCACGUCAUCUGGUGAACUGAUUCAACUCUUCUGAACACUCAUCCAUUUUAAUACGUAUGUUGAAAGAAAUUAUUCUAAUGCUAUUAAACACUUGAGAUUAGGAUAAAAGUA